rnacentral:rRNA from 1 species
GGGUUGUGAGGUUAAGUGACUAAGCGUACACGGUGGAUGCCUAGGCAGUCAGAGGCGAUGAAGGGCGUGCUAAUCUGCGAUAAGCGUCGGUAAGGUGAUAUGAACCGUUAUAACCGGCGAUACCCGAAUGGGGAAACCCAGUGCAAUUCGUUGCACUAUCAUACGAUGAAUACAUAGUCG